GCUUGGAUGUGGGGGUUUUUUGCCGGCUUUCACAAGUCAGCUCCCCUUAAAUGUAUUAGCCGGUGCCCUCUAACCGUCUAUUGGUGUGAUAAUUAUCUACGCCGUGGACUAUUAGACUUGGUAGCAUUGCUAUAACCGUCCUCUAUGGACAAUAAUGACAUUUUGACCUCAAAUCAGGUAGGACUACCCGCUGAACUUAA
rnacentral:misc_RNA from 1 species